UACGAAGGGGGCUAGCGUUGCUCGGAAUGACUGGGCGUAAAGGGCGCGUAGGCGGUGAACACAGUUAGGCGUGAAAUUCCCGGGCUCAACCUGGGGGCUGCGUUUAAUACAUGUUCGCUUGAGUUCGGAAGAGGGUCGUGGAAUUCCCAGUGUAGAGGUGAAAUUCGUAGAUAUUGGGAAGAACACCGGUGGCGAAGGCGGCGACCUGGUCCGAUACUGACGCUGAGGCGCGAAAGCGUGGGGAGCAAACAGGAUUAGAUACCCUGGUAGUCCACGCCGUAAACGAUGUGUGCUGGAUGUUGGGCAGUCUGACUGCUCAGUGUCGUAGCUAACGCGAUAAGCACACCGCCUGGGGAGUACGGCCGCAAGGUUGAA
rnacentral:rRNA from 1 species